rnacentral:rRNA from 1 species
ACUGCUCAGUAACACGUGGACAACCUACCGUUAGGACCGGGAUAACCCCGGGAAACUGCGGACAAUCCCGGAUAGGUGAAGUGGCCUGGAAUGGUGCUUCAUUGUAAGACUGUUCGGAGCGCCUAAGGAUGGGUCUGCGGCCGAUUAGGUAGUUGGUAGGGUACCGGCCUAUCAAGCCGAUAAUCGGUACGGGUUGUGAGAGCAAGAGCCCGGAGAUGGAACGUGAGCCAAGGUUCCAGGCCACAGCAGGCGCGAAACCUCCGCAAUGCACGCAAGUGCGACGGGGGGACCCCAAGUGCCACUCUUAACGGGGUGGCUUUUCAGGAGUGUAAAAAGCUCCUGGAAUAAGGGCUGGGCAAGACCGGUGCCAGCCGCCGCGGUAACACCGGCAGCUCGAGUGGUAGCCGCGUUUAUUGGGCCUAAAGCGUCCGUAGCCGGUCCGAUAAGUCUCUGGUGAAAGCCCACAGCUCAACUGUGGGAAUCGCUGGAGAUACUAUCGGACUUGAGGCCGGGAGAGGCUGGAGGUACUCCCAGGGUAGGGGUGAAAUCCUAUAAUCCUGGGAGGACCACCUGUGGCGAAGGCGUCCAGCUGGAACGGACCUGACGGUGAGGGACGAAAGCCAGGGGCGCGAACCGGAUUAGAUACCCGGGUAGUCCUGGCCGUAAACGAUGCGGACUUGGUGUUGGGACGGCUUUGAGCUGUCCCAGUGCCGAAGGGAAGCUGUUAAGUCCGCCGCCUGGGAAGUACGGCCGCAAGGCUGAAACUUAAAGGAAUUGGCGGGGGAGCAC